CCAAUAGCGUAUAUUAAAGUUGUUGCCGUUAAAAAGCUCGUAGUUGAAUUUUGGGUCUGGCCGGGCGGUCCGCCUUCUGGGUGAGUACUGUUCCGAUGUCGGGCCUAUCCUUCUGGUGAGUCGGCAUGCCCUUUACUGGAUGUGUCGGGGAACCAGGACCAUUACCUUGAAAAAAUUAGAGUGUUCAAAGCAGGCGCAUGCUCGAAUACAUUAGCAUGGAAUAAUGAAAUAGGACGCGUGGUGCUAUUUUGUUGGUUUCUAGAACCGCCGUAAUGAUUAAUAGGGAUAGUUGGGGGCAUUAGUAUUCAAUUGUCAGAGGUGAAAUUCUUGGAUUUAUUGAAGACUAACUUCUGCGAAAGCAUUUGCCAAGGAUGUUUUCAUUAAUCAAGAACGAAAGUUAGGGGAUCGAAGACGAUCAGAUACCGUCGUAGUCUUAACCAUAAACUAUGCCGACUAGGAAUCGGGCGAAGUUAUUUUCACGACUCGCCCGGCGCCUUAUG
rnacentral:rRNA from 1 species